UACGUAGGGUGCAAGCGUUGUCCGGAAUUAUUGGGCGUAAAGGGCUCGUAGGCGGUCCAUCACGUCGGGAGUGAAAAGCUGGGGCUUAACCCCAGUCCUGCUUCCGAUACGGGUGGACUAGAGGUAGGCAGGGGAGAACGGAAUUCCCAGUGUAGCGGUGAAAUGCGUAGAUAUUGGGAGGAACACCAGUGGCGAAGGCGGCUACCUGGACCGGUUCUGACGCUGAUGCGCGAAAGCGUGGGUAGCAAACAGG
rnacentral:rRNA from 1 species